CAUCCUCAUCCUGGUUAUCGGUCUCUUUCCUAUCUUGACCAUCUGUCACUGAUUGCGGCAACCAAGGUCAAAGUCUGGAAAUCUGCCCUGAAUUCAAGCAAGGCGGAGCAUGAGAAGGAUGUCUUUAAGACUGAGGAGUGGGUGGAAGUUAAUCCUUUCAAUGAAGCCCCCAAAGGAGCUUGUCACUAGGACUUGGCACAGUGGCAGGGAAGAGCGUCCGUUCAAAGAAAGGCAGACCCAUACAGAAGCCCACAGGAGGGUCUCAUCACAGCAGCCUUGGGGUAGUACCCAGAAUAGGGCCCAGUAUGGACUAUUUGUGCAUCUGAUGCCUGUGCUGGUCAGAUGGUUCCCUAAGCACUGACGACAGAAUUCUGGCUGUUCCCAUCUUGGGGUUUUUGCCAUCUUCACAACAGCAACAAAAAAGAUACCAAAUGGCCAAUAAACUCAUGAAAAAGUGCUCACCACCACGAAUCACCAGGGAAAUGCAAAUUUAAAUCACCAGGGAAAUGCAAAUUUAAAUCACAAUAAGACACCGCUGCCCUCCAGAUGACUAAAUCUUAAAAGGCUUACAACCUUAAAUACUGGUGAGGAUCUGGAGCAACUGGAAUGCUCAUGCAUUAUUGAGGAAAUGAAUCAUACACCUAAUCUGUGACCCAACAAUUCUGCUCCUUAUUAUCUCCCCAAGGGAAAGGAAAACAUCUAUCUGCAAAGGUUUUCCCAAUAAUGUUCAUAACAGAUUUGUUUAUUAACAGUCAAAACCUAGACACAGCACAAACGUAUAUCCCCAGGAGAAUAGAUAUCCGGUCACCAUCAGAGGAAGGGCUCUGGCGAUGCCUCCCUUUCAUCAGAAAAGGAAAAGCUUUCCUAGAAACCUCCCAGCAGAUUUCUCCUUACCGGUCACUGCCCUGAACUGCGUUAACAAGUCCAACCGUUCCUACAAAAGAGUUGGGAAAGCGAUUAAUUACGCGGGUACACCGUCAGGCUUCCUCCGCCAUCAUUUGGCUCAUUAGCCAAGAGGGGAGGUUGGAUACUGAAAGGCCCAUUAAGGGUGUGUGUCACACGGAUCAUCGGCUGCGGCGUCACCUGGUGUCAGACGCUACUAGCAUCGUCAGGUCCAUGUCCAUUUGUGUGACUUUCACGUUAGUUGCUUCCUCUGAACUUCUGUAUUAGCUGGUCAGUGAAAAGACACCCGAAACACGCAAUUCCAGAAGUGCGCGGCUGAAGACCUGACGCAGCUGUUCUGCCGAGUGUGCCAUACGGCUCGAAGAUCCUCGUGGUAUCGUGAGUCACAUUGCUGAGAGCAGAAUUUAAUCAGUCAAGGAAUUCAGUAAUAGCGCAGAAGCGAAAUGCCUUGGGUUUCUUCUAUUUUGAGCUGACCUUUAGGAAGCCCCAUAAACAAUCAGAUCUAAGUAUGCAUUGUUGCCUUUGUCAACAAUCGAUCUGAAAACUUCAAAGGUACACUCGGGGUGUGUGUCACCU
ensembl:lncRNA